AAUGAACGCUGGCGGCGUGCCUAACACAUGCAAGUCGAGCGAUGAAGCUUCCUUCGGGAAGUGGAUUAGCGGCGGACGGGUGAGUAACACGUGGGUAACCUGCCUCAAAGUGGGGAAUAGCCCUCCGAAAGGAGGAUUAAUACCGCAUAACGUAAGAGUAUCGCAUGGUACUUUUACCAAAGAUUUAUCGCUUUGAGAUGGACCCGCGGCGCAUUAGCUAGUUGGUGAGGUAAUGGCUCACCAAGGCAACGAUGCGUAGCCGACCUGAGAGGGUGAUCGGCCACAUUGGAACUGAGACACGGUCCAGACUCCUACGGGAGGCAGCAGUGGGGAAUAUUGCGCAAUGGGGAAACCCUGACGCAGCAACGCCGCGUGAGUGAUGAAGGUCUUCGGAUUGUAAAGCUCUGUUUUCUAGGACGAUAAUGACGGUACUAGAGGAGGAAGCCACGGCUAACUACGUG
rnacentral:rRNA from 1 species